AUUGAAACACUGAUUCCUGUAUGGUCGCCAAAGUUAAGCAACGUCGGGCAUUGUCAGUACCUUGAUAGGUGACCACUUGGGAAUACCAAGUGUUGUAGU